ensembl:snRNA U6 U6 spliceosomal RNA
GUGCUUGCUUCAACAGCACACAUACUAAAAUGAGAAUGAUGCAGAGAAGAUUAGCACGGCCCCUGCACAAGGGUGACACACAAAUUCUUGAAGUGUUCCAUAUUAAA